GCUAUGUCUGGCCUGAUUUUACUAGAACUUUGUAUUGUAUUCAUAUAACUAAUAAUUAUUCUGAUCUAUAUUUAAAAUGCAAAUUUCUAUUCUAUAAGUUAAUUGAUAAUAUCCAUGCGGGGAAACAUAUGAAACAAUAACAUGCUCGAUGGAUGAUGAAUUAGGCGUUCAUGCCUGUCAUGCAGAAGUUCUUUCAAUAUAAAAAGGAAGAAACUGAUUAUGUGUUCUUCCUGUUUUAAUUGUAAACAAAGACAGACCUGUAUUCGUGUUCAUGUUCUAGAUGAAUGCAUGCACGCGGUUUCUCGCCUGCUGUAACAAGCAUCACGUAUAACGCCUAUUUAUAGUAUGACGAGGAUCUUAUAAAAGGCCAAAUGAAAUUAGUUCAUUGUUCACACAACGCAUUAUUCAGUCAAAUUUUCCUUUAAACAAAUUAAGCAGAAGAGUGUAAAAUUCAGCUAACCCAGAGGGAAAGUAAUGAGUCACCGAAAAUCAACAAUCACCCUUUUUCUAGCAGUUGGAAUGCUGAUACUGAGCAGUUUGAUUGAUGCGGAUAUGUUUCUGCACAACCCCAGAGGCUCCAACAACCGCCUGAAUGGAAAUACUGCUAAUCGAAAGAAUAAUAAUCGAAUGUUCGAUUCUCAGAACAACGCCAAAGGUGGUUACAAUGUUGGUGAUAAAACUGCUUCAGCAUCGACCAGCGAAGACACGCAAUUUAACAUG
rnacentral:lncRNA from 1 species